ACACACACACACAUUGGCUGUUGACAAAUUUUUCUGCUUUGUAAGGGUAAUUUACACAGUAUUUCUGCUGUUCUAAUGGCAAUUCUGUGUUUGAAAAAAUAUCAUCUAAUUUGUAUCAUUCAAUACACAUUUUGAAGCUUAUAAAAAUAAAUGU